UGGGAGCUCUAAUCUUAAAUGCAUGCGGGAUGGCUGUGAGGAGAAAAUCUACACAUGCUCAAAGGUAUCUCUCACUACUAUUAAUUCAGAUUUUUCCAGACUGAACCAUAGUUCAAAUGAGGAUUUGCUUAAAUCUUUGUUUACAUGACAUUUUCAGUGGGAACGUUUUUUUUCUGAGAAGUGAGAUCUCAGUCAUUAUGAGUCCUUGUGACGCUGCUUCUUUUCUGUUUUUCUGAGCUAAGGACAAGACUAAACAUUGGUAAAGAGGCCAUCUUCCUUUUGCUUUGGCACACCAUAGGAACAGGGAGAGGCUCAAGCACUUCUUUCCUUGAUGCCUGCAGACUGAACUAUGACAAGGUCUGAGAAUUUGUGUUCCAGAAACACAGGAGGUGUGCAAUAGAAAAAGCCAUACUAACAAUAAAUGUUAUCCACCUGAGGUCUAUCGCUUGUUUUGCGGCCAAAGGGUUUUCUGAAAGGCUCAUCCCAGUUUACAAACAUUUUAUUGAAGCCUUUUUAACCUUACUGUGAACUCAGAAGCCACACAAGCCUGAAGUUUAAGGUAAUGACAUCUGGUUUACCAUUAUGGGAGGAGAGCUGGCAGGAGCGUAACAAAGUUGGAGUGGGCCCAGAGACAAGAUUUUAAAAUGGGCCCCUCGCUGCCUUCCUCUCCUUCUCCUGGACCCGUGUCUCUGCUGCAGAAGAACAUUAAGGACACGUGUUAUAUAGUGAAGCAGAUUAACAGACAACACAAACUGUCAUCUGAAUCCACGCCAAAAUAUAUGGACCAAAUGAUGGGGGGUUGUUCUCAAACCCAAUAAAACAAUUUGCAAAAUAUGGGAAAGGCAACUUGUAGAAAUUACAUGCUGGGGCUAUUCUCACGAUUGCGGAAAAUCCAGCUAGCUUCCACUAGCCCGAUUUUCUGUAAUCGUGAGAACCACUGGGCUCGGCUGCAACCUGGGUAGUUCUAGAGCGGGUAACCCGCUCAAGUACCCCUGCCCUUCGCAAAUCUGGUUUUGAAGAUUGUGAGUAGCCACAGCUCCACACUGUGCCUACUUACGAGGAGGCCCCCGCAGGGGAGGCAAAAAGCCACCUCCCAGCUCCGGGGGUCUCGUCAGCAUGCCCUGCGUGCUCGCGCAGGGCAUGCUGGAGCUUCCGGGGACCGAUCGGCCCCC